CAGAGUUGAAAGACUCCCCAUACCAUCGCGAACGUUACCCUUAACCGUUGCUUCGGCGGGCGGUCUCCUCCCCCCUCCCCCAUCUGGGGGUUUGGGAAGGAAACCCCUCGGCCUCCCUCCCCUUCGCUGGGGGGGGCGGGGCGCCCGCCGGAGGUCACGCAAACUCUUGAUACCUGAACGGCCUCUCUGAGUAUUCUGUACUGAAUUAAGUCA
rnacentral:misc_RNA from 1 species